UCUCGCUCUGUCGCACAGGCUGGAGUGCAGUGGCAUGAUCUAGGCUCACUGCAAGCUCCACCUCCCGGGUUCAGGCCAUUCUCCUGCCUCAGCCUCCCGAGCAGCUGGGACUACAGAUGUUCUAGCUUUUCCAAAUUUUGUCAUUGAGAAUGCCAGCCCUCUUCUGGAAAAUGCCUCUGAACAUACGCAGGUUACCAAAGUCACUGUGUCUGUCUCACCUCAUGCUUCUCUGGUUGGAGAUCCUGUUAUUAUUAAUGCAAAUCCUGCAGUCCAUCCAUUUGUGCUGUCUCAUAGAUCCAUACAUCUUUGGGAAUUAUUCACCACUGGAGUACCCAAGCUGGACUUUGAGAUGGUGACACUCUAUUCCCUGAUAAUCUAUGCCAAAGACAACCAAGGGGCAACAGCAUCACAGACAAUUUUAAUCCAGAUUGCAGAUGUGAAUGAACCGCCCACCUUCGCUGGAUCUCUUGCCCAGGGUGACCAAGUACUUCAUUUCCCCGGAGGGCUCUGGCUUUACAAUUGACAGCAUCGGAACAAUUUCCACAGCAGCAGUUUUUGAUUUUGAAAGUGAAUCUAGAAGAUGGAGUCUCACUCUGUCGCCCAGGCUGGAGUGCAGUGGUGCGUAUUUGGCUCAAUCCAACUUCUACUUCCUGGAUUCAAGUGAUUCACCUGCCUCAGCCUCCUGAGUAGCUGGGAGAUUACAGGCCUGGUGUAUCUCAUGGAAGAGUGAUUAUGCACAAGCAAGUUUUUCAAUGGUUAUUAAAGUGUUGACUCUGGAGGACUGUUUACAGCUGGAAAUCUAAAGAUUUUUCUCAUCAAUGUACACAAUAAGGACCCCAUUCUUAUCUACAGCAACUGUGACCAUCAUUGUGAAGGUUGCUCCUGCCAGUGACUUCAGCCCUGUAUUUAAAGCUGCACACUAUUCAUUCUCUGUUCCGGAAACGUUGGGAGCAAAGAAAAGGUCUGAUCGUCGUGUACACAGCUAUAAACACGUACAAAUCCAAUGACUGGUACAUUCCUUUUAUCUUCACUCUGAUGGCUAUUUUCUUGCUGGGUUGAUUUCCUGGGUAUGUUUCCUGCUUUGGAAAUAUGGGAACAUUAUGGAAUGCUGUCAGAAAAUGACCAAGGAAGUCUCCAAGGCCAAACCCAAGCGAUGGAAAUCAAAAGGAAAAUACUGUCACAGGAAACAGAAAUAAAAAAUUAGAAGUAUUAACAUCUCUGGGAACGUAUAUGAAUAUAAUAGCAGAACAGGUGCAAGAAAGUGGAAGAAGACCUCCAGGCACCAGAAGGAGCCCUUGGCAAACAUACAUUCCCUCCUAGAGGUCCAUCCUUUAGAGGAGUCCACAUCCUUAAGAAUUCAUUUGCAAGGAUAGCAUUUUUCCAGCGCCUGAAUGAUUGCUUUUUUGUGUAUAUGAUUGUCACAGGCAGUUUUUCUUGGCUACCUAAAAUUAUAGACAUGAGGCCAGCUGCUUUGUCUGUGUUUAUAGCUUUCUGUGGUCUUCCAUUUCAGGGUGUCUGUGUGAAGGCGGCAGGAGUGGUGAGCUUUGAAUCUCUGAACAUGUUUUGCUGAAAACGAGAUACUAAAUUGACAUAUGUUCAUUGUCUUACUUUGCCCAGUAGAGUGUAUGCUUUUUAAGAUCAGAGACUAUUUUGCUCACUGCUUUAGCCCCAGUACAUGUUUGGCAGAGAGUGGGGACUCUGUAUACAUUUGUGAAUAAAUAAAUUUGAAUAUAU